rnacentral:rRNA from 1 species
CCUACGGGAGGCAGCAGUGGGGAAUUUUGGACAAUGGGCGCAAGCCUGAUCCAGCCAUUCCGCGUGCAGGAUGAAGGCCCUCGGGUUGUAAACUGCUUUUGUACGGAACGAAAAGGCUCUGGUUAAUACCCGGGGCUCAUGACGGUACCGUAAGAAUAAGCACCGGCUAACUACGUGCCAGCAGCCGCGGUAAU